GGCGGCUUGAUACAGGGUGAGGCGGUCAAACUACCUUAUUCGUAAUCAGUAGGUCCCCAGUUCAAUCCUGGGUGUCGGCACCA
rnacentral:tRNA from 1 species